AUGUGCGAUAGACUGUAUACUAAAUUGCUCGCAAUUAUAAAAUUAAGACAGUCUCACACUAUCAUGCUAUCAGCAUCACACAGAAUCAAACACAAGAUAGAUAAUGUGCACGUGUGCACCUGCUCUCCAUAUGGGUUAAAGAAACUCCAGAGGCAAAGCAAAACUUCAAUCGAUACAGCUCUGUUUCAGCAUGUGUGGUAG